GCUAGUCGUGCGCCUCCAGCCACGGUGGAGGCGCGGCGCACAGCUCAGUAACACGUGGCUAACCUGCCCUUGGGACGGGGACAACCCCGGGAAACUGGGGCUAAUCCCCAAUAGGUGAGGACUUCUGGAAUGGGUCCUCGCCGAAAGGGCGUCUAGACCAUGCUUCUAGGCGCUACCCAAGGAUGGGGCCGCGGCCGAUCAGGUUGUUGGUGAGGUAACGGCUCACCAAGCCUAAGACCGGUACGGGCCGUGGGAGCGGUAGCCCGGAGAUGGACACUGAGACAAGGGUCCAGGCCCUACGGGGCGCAGCAGUCGCGAAACCUCCGCAAUACGCGAAAGCGUGACGGGGCCACCCCGAGUGCCGUCCGCUGAGGACGGCUUUUCCCCAGUGUAGACAGCUGGGGGAAUAAGGGGAGGGCAAGUCGGGUGUCAGCCGCCGCGGUAAUACCCGCUCCCCGAGUGGUGGGGACGCUUAUUGGGCCUAAAGCAUCCGUAGCCGGCUGGACAAGUCCCCUGUUAAAUCCAGCGAUUCAAUCGCUGGACUGCGGGGGAUACUGUCCAGCUAGGGGGCGGGAGAGGCCAGCGGUAUUCCCGGGGUAGGGGUGAAAUCUUAUAAUCCCGGGAGGACCACCAGUGGCGAAGGCUGCUGGCUGGAACGCGCCCGACGGCGAGGGAUGAAAGCUGGGGGAGCG
rnacentral:rRNA from 1 species